UACGUAGGGACCAAGCGUUGUUCGGAUUUACUGGGCGUAAAGGGCGCGUAGGCGGCGCCGUAAGUCAGGGGUGAAAUCCCGGAGCUCAACUCCGGAACUGCCCUUGAAACUGCAGUGCUAGAAUUCUGGAGAGGCGAGUGGAAUUCCGAGUGUAGAGGUGAAAUUCGUAGAUAUUCGGAAGAACACCAGUGGCGAAGGCGACUCGCUGGACAGACAUUGACGCUGAGGUGCGAAAGCGUGGGGAGCAAACAGG
rnacentral:rRNA from 1 species